CCAGGGUUAGUCGGGACCUAAGCCGAGGCCGACAGGCGUAGGCGAUGGAUAACAGGUUGAUAUUCCUGUACCCGUUGUUUUUGUUUGAGCAAUGGAGGGACGCAGGAGGCUAAGGAAUGCAGACGAUUGGAAAUGUCUGUCCAAGCAGUAAGUCUGAAGAGGAGUCAAAUGCUUCUUUUCUUAAGGACAAGCUGUGAUGGGGAGGGAAAUAAUAGUACCGAAGUUCCUGAUGUCACACUGCCGAGAAAAGCUUCUAGUGAGAAAACAGCGGCCCGUACCGCAAACCGACACAGGUAGUCGAGGAGAGAAUCCUAAGGUGAGCGAGAGAACUCUCGUUAAGGAACUCGGCAAAAUGACCCCGUAACUUCGGGAGAAGGGGUGCUGAUCAUACGAUCAGCCGCAGUGAAUAGGCCCAAGCGACUGUUUAUCAAAAACACAGGUCUCUGCAAAAUCGUAAGAUGAAGUAUAGGGGCUGACGCCUGCCCGGUGCUGGAAGGUUAAGAGGAGUGCUUAGCGCAAGCGAAGGUACGAAUUGAAGCCCCAGUAAACGGCGGCCGUAACUAUAACGGUCCUAAGGUAGCGAAAUUCCUUGUCGGGUAAGUUCCGACCCGCACGAAAGGCGUAACGAUUUGGGCACUGUCUCAACGAGAGACUCGGUGAAAUUUUAGUACCUGUGAAGAUGCAGGUUACCCGCGACAGGACGGAAAGACCCCAUGGAGCUUUACUGUAGUUUGAUAUUGAGUGUCUGUACCGCAUGUACAGGAUAGGUAGGAGCCGUAGAAAUCGGAACGCUAGUUUCGAUGGAGGCGCUGGUGGGAUACUACCCCUGCGUUAUGGCCACUCUAACCCGCACCACUAAUCGUGGUGGGAGACAGUGUCAGAUGGGCAGUUUGACUGGGGCGGUCGCCUCCUAAAAGGUAACGGAGGCGCCCAAAGGUUCCCUCAGAAUGGUUGGAAAUCAUUCGAAGAGUGUAAAGGCAGAAGGGAGCUUGACUGCGAGACCAACAAGUCGAGCAGGGACGAAAGUCGGGCUUAGUGAUCCGGUGGUUCCGCAUGGAAGGGCCAUCGCUCAACGGAUAAAAGCUACCCUGGGGAUAACAGGCUUAUCUCCCCCAAGAGUCCACAUCGACGGGGAGGUUUGGCACCUCGAUGUCGGCUCGUCGCAUCCUGAGGCUGUAGUCGGUCCCAAGGGUUGGGC
rnacentral:rRNA from 1 species